GGCUUCCCAAUUCUUACCACAGGCUGUGUUCUUUACACUGACUAUAUAGAAAGAGGAGGUACAGCAAAUGCCCCCCAUAUACACCUCAACACAGGCCCUGUGUUUGCCUGGUUUGUAUUGUGAAUUGGGGGACAAAA